rnacentral:rRNA from 1 species
GUGGGGAAUAUUGGACAAUGGGCGAAAGCCUGAUCCAGCAAUGCCGCGUGUGUGAAGAAGGCCUGCGGGUUGUAAAGCACUUUCAGCAGGGAAGAAAAGCCUAGGGUUAAUACCCCUGAGUCUUGACGUUACCUGCAGAAGAAGCACCGGCUAACUCCGUGCCAGCAGCCGCGGUAAUACGGAGGGUGCAAGCGUUAAUCGGAAUUACUGGGCGUAAAGCGCGCGUAGGCGGCGGUAUCAGUCAGGCGUGAAAGCCCCGGGCUCAACCUGGGAGGUGCGUUUGAUACUGUACUGCUGGAGUCCGGGAGGGGAUGGCGGAAUUCCCAGUGUAGAGGUGAAAUUCGUAGAUAUUGGGAAGAACACCGGUGGCGAAGGCGGCCAUCUGGACCGGCACUGACGCUGAGGCGCGAAAGCGUGGGGAGCAAACAGGAUUAGAAACCCGAGUAGUCC